rnacentral:lncRNA from 1 species
AAUUAAUCCUUGACAAGGGAAAGACAAUAACAUUAAUGUCUUUGCAUGAUUAGAAAUUUUGUUGGACCCACCCUAAUAAGAAGACAAUGGGGGGGAUUAACACAUGGUAGGACUGCACGAAAGGAUAGACUGAAAGAGACAAUGUUGGGAUUGUAGAUUUUUCAAUUUUUUUACACUCGUAGACAUUGGAAACUUAUUAUUGGUUAUGUGAAUAUUUUCUCGUCGGUUGAGAUCAUUACAAUGAUAAGUCUGGAGUAAACUUAUAAAUUAAGAUAUUGUUUCUAUUGACCUCAAAAAAUGUGUUAAUAGAAUCCCGACUUCAUCUUCUUCACGUGGGCAUCACCAGCACACUCAAACAACUCCAUUAGAAGGCAAAGGCCACUGGUCGAAAAAAUUAUCCGGCAAACAUUUGCACUCCAACAGUCGGACGAAAUAUAAAUAAUGCAAGAGACGGGUGAAGGGGUUUGGCUUCGUUUCGAUUUCUAAUACCUGGCUACUCUACAUCAGAUUUUGAGGUUCUUAUCCUUCUUACGGGAAUUCAUAUAUCAGUUCAGAGGUAUUGAAGGUUUGGAAGUUGGCUUCAAUCCACUCCACCAUCUCGAUUUAGGCGUACCUUCGCAAUACUUCGCGAAACUUUGGUACGCCUUGAUGAGAUGAAAGUUGGCUAUGUAACACUUUUCAACCUCACUAUCAGUAGAUUCAGCCUGUUUCUUUGCCAUCUCCACCUCCUUCGUUAAGCCCAACACUCUAGAGUUUAACUCCUCCACCUACUCUUUUAGAGCUACAUUCUCUUUAUUAGAUGCCUUCAGGGCUUCAACAGCUAGCCUUCAGUGAGAAUCAGAAGUCUCCACCCGCUUCAUCAUGGAAGGCAUUUCACUCUAACGCAAGUGGACUUCCUUUUUCAAGUUUUCAAUUUCUGCUAAGGCAGAGGCGAGCUUCACAGACUCUUCAGCAUGCUAUUUCUUCACAGCCUCCACCUCAACUUCCGCCUUUGUAGCUACUUUUUCGGCCUUGGAGAUCUUAUUUGUGAAUUCUUUAUUUUUAUUCUGAAGGUUUUUAAAUAGGGUCUCCGGCUCUAUAGCGGCCCCAAACGCCCCUCAUAGAUUGGCUUACCAUUGUGGUGAAAAUGUCCACCCAAUCACUAGUCUCCAUGAAGGACUACAAACGAUCUAUCCAAUACUUGUGAAAAGUAGAUAUUACAGUUUGAAACUCUGGUGGUAACUUCGACAAAACCUCCGAGGCCAACACGUCUCCCCAUUGUGAAAUGACAAGUUAGGGCGAGGACUUGAAUCAGUAGCAGAGGUCCCACUUGAUGGCCUCUCCCUCUUCGAGGAUUCUUGCUUUAGGUGCUCCACGAUAAUUGGCCUCUUUCGGGCCUUCUUGACCACAGCAAUAGAUGUUGUCAUCAACUUCUCCCCAACAGGGGGGGACUUCGGAAGAGGCGGUGGGUUGGCCAUAGGCCCACCAUCUCCGGUAGCAGAAAAUUUGUGCUUUUUUUGGUGACCUCCUUCAUCUUAUUCCUCCCCUUAUCCUUAAUGGGAGGUCUUUCAUCACCGUCUUGACCAGCAGCCUCUUUGCUAAUCUCUCCAUGUGGUCCCUCACCUACUUGGUAGCAACAGAUGAGGGCUUCAAUUCCUUUCUCCCAAUUGUGGUGGUAGUUGUAAGGAUGGUAGCGAUGUUAGGAAUAGGAUGUCUUUUCUUUUCAAAGUUUUCUCCAAAAAGUAUA